CGAUCUCUUCUCCCCAAACUUUGCUUCCCCCGUCGGCGACGAACCCUAGCUAGCUACUCUCUCUCUCAAAAAAAAAAAAAAACUCGAAUCAGUCCGGGUGCGAGAGGCCACCGGCGGCAUGGCUGCGUGCGGCGGCGGAGGAGAGCGCUCUAAAAUCGGAUCGGAUCGACCUGACCGAAUCCCGCCGCCGCGCCCGUCUAGCUCGCCGUGGCCGAUGACCGCGUCGGCCGGGGCCGCGUCCCUGCCCAAACGGCGGCGAUGAUGGAGGGAGCCGCCGGCGCCGGCCAGGAUCCCGACCCGCGGACGCGCCGGGUCGCCGCUCCUCGGGGCCAGCCCCUCCCGCCGCGCCGGAUCGCGCAUCGGCUUGGAGGCCCCUCGGGGCUGCCGCCGGUGCGGGAGGCGUCCGCGUCCGCGCGGGAUGGGGAGCGGGGACCGAGCGACGGGGCUCGUGAUGCGUUCCGGUCGAGGGAUUGGUCGGCCCGGCGCGGGAUCUGAGCCGCCGCCGAUGGAUUUCUCGCAGCUUGGCUGCCUGUUGCUUUGGAUCCUGUACGAUCCCCAUCUCUCUCCGAGACUGACCCCACACUCACUCGCUCACUCUGUGUGCGCGCGCGUGCGCGCAGUUCACACCCGUGACCCCAAACCCUAAGCCGAAUCAGGCGAGCUCUCGUUGCCGGAUCGCUGGCCAAUCGUCCCGUUGGCCGCCACGUCAGUUCCGCACCGCGGUGGUGCUGCCAGCCACCGCCGUUCCAUUGCCUUGGAUUCGGGUGUGGCGUGGGCUGGGAACCGUACGGUGUUUGUCUGACGCGUCAUCCGCGCCGGGAGGUUUGGUCGGUCGACUCCAGAGGCAAUCUCCUUUUUGGACCAAAAAGAGGGGCGAUGACGAGGACGACGAUGAUGAUGACUCUGGCUGAAAUAAUCAUGUCUUGAGCAAUCAAGACAGCCUUAGCUUGUGGGACUAAACAGAGCUGAGAAAGUCGGUGUCAGCGUUGGAGUUCCCCUUAGAGCCCACCCUUGCCUCUGUUGCAGCCUGCUCAAUUUGUCGCCGAUGUUGGAUGAUCUGUGCCUUGGACGGUCGUUCUGAUGAGUGAUAACCAGCUUACACUGCGAUGGGUAGGUUAUGAGCAAGAGAUGUGGGUGUUGGGUUUGAAGAUGAAUGACAAAGCUGAGCCCUCUUUUGCUACGCUACAUACACUGAAUUUUCACUGUUCAGUUGCAUUUUGUUUUGGAUUCGCCACCACCGUUCCAUUGCCUUGGAUUCGGUUGUGGCGUGGGCUGGGAACCAUACAGUGUUGUCUGAUGCAGCGUCCGAGCCCGAGGUUUGGUUGGUUGAUGCCAGGCAUGAGCAGCUCCUGAGAGCAUGGUUAAUAAUAGAGCCAACUUCUGGAAUGCAUGUAUGUAUGGAUACUAUGGUCAUGAUGCCGUUGAAGUCACUGUUUUGACCUUUUUGGAAAGGUUCAACACAAAAUGAACCAUGUCGGAAACUUUAGCACAAUCUAACCCCUUCUAUCCAUCCAUCCAUCGAUCCAUCUAUCUAUCUAUCUAUUUGGGGCGAUGAUGAUAAAACAUGUCUGACAUAAACUUGUCUUCGAUUAUUCGAGGAGCUGUGGGCUUCAAAAACCUACUCUCCCCUCUUUUGGCACCUUAUCAUUCUCACCGAAUAUUGACCGGCUCUCUCUUGGAUGGUCAUUCUGCUGAGUGAUAACCAGAGGAGCUCGACCUCUGUGGUGGGGGUUGAUCUGGUGAAAGAAGAUGGAGCUAGGUUGUAUGAUAUAUCAAAGGCGAAUCUGAGCCCUC